rnacentral:rRNA from 1 species
ACGCUCGACACCUACGGGAGGCAGCAGUAGGGAAUCUUCCACAAUGGGCGCAAGCCUGAUGGAGCAACACCGCGUGAGUGAAGAAGGGUUUCGGCUCGUAAAGCNCUGUUGUUGGAGAAGAACGUGCGUGAGAGUAACUGUUCACGCAGUGACGGUAUCCAACCAGAAAGUCACGGCUAACUACGUGCUAGCAGCCGCGGUAAUCUGAGCGGGCUGGCAAGGC